UACAGAGGUCUCAAGCGUUGCUCGGAUUCAUUGGGCGUAAAGGGUGCGUAGGCGGCGCGGUAAGUCGGGUGUGAAAUCUCGGAGCUUAACUCCGAAACUGCAUUCGAUACUGCCGUGCUUGAGGACUGGAGAGGAGACUGGAAUUUACGGUGUAGCGGUGAAAUGCGUAGAUAUCGGAAGGAACGCCGGUGGCGAAAGCGAUCCGCUGGCCCUCUUCUGACGCUGAGGCGCGAAAGCCAGGGGAGCAAACGGG
rnacentral:rRNA from 1 species